rnacentral:rRNA from 1 species
GAUGAACGCUGGCGGCGUGCCUAAUACAUGAAAGUCGAGCGAACGGACGAGAAGCUUGCUUCUCUGAUGUUAGCGGCGGACGGGUGAGUAACACGUGGAUAACCUACCUAUAAGACUGGGAUAACUUCGGGAAACCGGAGCUAAUACCGGAUAAUAUUUUGAACCGCAUGGUUCAAAAGUGAAAGACGGUCUUGCUGUCACUUAUAGAUGGAUCCGCGCUGCAUUAGCUAGUUGGUAAGGUAACGGCUUACCAAGGCAACGAUGCAUAGCCGACCUGAGAGGGUGAUCGGCCACACUGGAACUGAGACACGGUCCAGACUCCUACGGGAGGCAGCAGUAGGGAAUCUUCCGCAAUGGGCGAAAGCCUGACGGAGCAACGCCGCGUGAGUGAUGAAGGUCUUCGGAUCGUAAAACUCUGUUAUUAGGGAAGAACAUAUGUGUAAGUAACUGUGCACAUCCUGACGGUACCUAAUCAGAAAGCCACGGCUAACUACGUG